rnacentral:rRNA from 1 species
UACAGAGGUCUCAAGCGUUGUUCGGAUUCAUUGGGCGUAAAGGGUGCGUAGGCGGCGCGGUAAGUCGGGUGUGAAAUCUCGGAGCUUAACUCCGAAAGCUGCAUUCGAUACUGCCGUGCUUGAGGACUGGAGAGGAGACUGGAAUUUACGGUGUAGCGGUGAAAUGCGUAGAUAUCGUAAGGAAGACCAGUGGCGAAGGCGGGUCUCUGGACAGUUCCUGACGCUGAGGCACGAAGGUCAGGGGAGCAAACGGG